CAGUAGCCGCGGUAAUACGAGGGGGGCAAGCGUUGUUCGGAAUUAUUGGGCGUAGAGGGUGCGUAGGCGGUUUGAUAAGUCUUGUGUGAAAUCUCUGGGCUCAACCUGGGAAUGGCAAUGGAUACUGGCAAGCUAGAGUGUGUCAGAGGAUGGUGGAAUUCCCGGUGUAGCGGUGAAAUGCGUAGAGAUCGGGAGGAACAUCAGUGGCGAAGGCGGCCAUCUGGGACAACACUGACGCUGAGGCACGAAAGCGUGGGGAGCAAACAGGAUUAGAUACCCCCGUAGUCCCUGUCUCUUAUAC
rnacentral:rRNA from 1 species